rnacentral:rRNA from 1 species
AGAGUUUGAUCAUGGCUCAGGACGAACGCUGGCGGCGUGCUUAACACAUGCAAGUCAAGGGGGCCCAGCAAUGGGCAACCGGCGAACGGGUGCGUAACACGUGAGCAACCUACCGAACUGUGGGGGAUAGCCGGCCUAACGGCCGAGUAAUACCGCAUACGCUUUCAGUGAGGCAUUUCAUUGAAAGGAAACCUACGGGACAGAUCGAGGGGCUCGCGGCCUAUCAGCUAGUUGGCGAGGUAACGGCUCACCAAGGCAACGACGGGUAGCUGGUCUGAGAGGAUGGCCAGCCACAUUGGGACUGAGAUACGGCCCAGACUCCUACGGGAGGCAGCAGUGGGGAAUCUUGCGCAAUGGCCUAACGGCUGACGCAGCGACGCCGCGUGUGGGAUGAAGCUCUUCGGAGUGUAAACCACUGUUGCCCGGGACGAACAGCUCGAUUAAUCGAGCCUGACGGUACCGGGUGAGGAAGCACCGGCUAACUCCGUGCCAGCAGCCGCGGUAAUACGGGGGGUGCGAGCGUUGUCCGGAAUCACUGGGCGUAAAGGGCGCGUAGGUGGUUUGAUAAGGGUGUGGUGAAAGUCCGGGGCUCAACCCCGGAUCUGCCGUGCCGACUGUCAAACUCGAGGACUGUAGAGGCAGACGGAAUUCCGGGUGUAGCGGUGGAAUGCGUAGAGAUCCGGAGGAAGACCGGUGGCGAAGGCGGUCUGCUGGGCAGUUUCUGACACUGAGGCGCGACAGCGUGGGGAGCAAACAGGAUUAGAUACCCUGCUAGUCCACGCCGUAAACGAUGGGUACUAGGUGCCUGGGGGAGCGACCCUCUGGGUGCCGGCGCUAACGCAGGAAGUACCCCGCCUGGGGGGUACGACCGCAAGGUUGAAACUCAAAGGAAUUGACGG